GAACGCUGGCGGCAGGCCUAACACAUGCAAGUCGAACGGUAACAGGAAGAAGCUUGCUCUUGCUGACGAGUGGCGGACGGGUGAGUAAUGUCUGGGAAGCUGCCUGAUGGAGGGGGAUAACUACUGGAAACGGUAGCUAAUACCGCAUAACGUCGCAAGACCAAAGAGGGGGGACCUUCGGGCCUCUUGCCAUCGGAUGUGCCCAGAUGGGAUUAGCUAGUAGGUGGGGUAACGGCUCACCUAGGCGACGAUCCCUAGCUGGUCUGAGAGGAUGACCAGCCACACUGGAACUGAGACACGGUCCAGACUCCUACGGGAGGCAGCAGUGGGGAAUAUUGCACAAUGGGCGCAAGCCUGAUGCAGCCAUGCCCGCGUGUAUGAAGAAGGCCUUCGGGUUGUAAAGUACUUUCAGCGGGGAGGAAGGGAGUAAAGUUAAUACCUUUGCUCAUUGACGUUACCCGCAGAAGAAGCACCGGCUAACUCCGUGCCAGCCGCGGC
rnacentral:rRNA from 1 species